rnacentral:rRNA from 1 species
AGGACGAACGCUUGCGGCGUGCCUAAGAAAUGCAAGUCGAGCGGAAGUAGCAAUACUUUAGCGGCGAACGGUCGCGUAACACGUAGCCAACCUGCCCAGAAGACCGGGACAACACUCCGAAAGGGGUGCUAAUACCGGAUGUGCCCAUUUUGCCACAUGGCUUAAUGAGUAAAUCAUUUAUGGCUUCUGGAGGGGCUGCGGCCUAGUCAGCUAGAUGGUGGGGUAAUGGCCUACCAUGGCGUCGACGGGUAGCUGGUCUGAGAGGAUGGUCAGCCGGACUGGGACUGAGAUACGGCCCAGACUCCUACGGGGGGCAGGCAAUUAGGAAUCUUGCGCAAUGGGGGCAACCCUGACGCAGCGACGCCGCGUGGAGGAUGACGGCCUUCGGGUUGUAAACUCCUUUAUCGGGAAGAACAAUGACGGUACCCGAUGAAUAAGCCCGGCUAACUCCGUGCCAGCAGCCGC